UGAAAUUUGCAGGUAGCAGAUUAUCCUCCAAAUAAAACUGAGGCUUCAAACAACUAACGUCCUCACUUGCCAUCACAUUGGGUCAGUGCGAUCUAACAGAUUCAACCAUCUGUCUGUGUUUUCUUCCACUUGCAACAUCUGUUCUUUCUGGUGAUCUGACUGUUUUUCUCUGCUUUCUGAUUCAUGUAGAGCAAGCUGUCUCAGAAAUGUACUUGCUAACUAAAAGGAAGUCUCCUGGACUAUGGAAAAUUUGGAAUAUUCGCCUAUUGUAUUUACCUACAUGUAACAUUUAAAAAUUUAAGAUGUAUCUGUGUAUUUGUAUCAAGUUCUUAUUGACAGAAGGUUUUUAAAUAUUGAAGAAAAUCAAAUAUGUAUAAACUUACAGCCAAGCUUGUGAGAAAUAAAUGCAGUUCUCACCUGAUGUGGUUGUGCAGACAAUUCAUGUACUGUU